GUGCAUUGGGUUACUGAGGAGACGAGGCGAGCCCUAGGAAAUAUCUGGCCGCACUUCCUCUCUCCCCUCCCCCUCCCUCUGCGCCGCCACAGCUCCUCUUCUUUGUGCGCGGAGGCCAGCGCGGCUCGUCGCGCCACCAUCCGUCCACCCCGCCGCUCGUUUUCCUCCUCUCUCAGAUUGGGGGUGGCCGCCGCAGCUCCAUCUUCUCCCUGCCCUCCAUACCCAGGCGUGCAGCGGCCAGGUCGGAAGAAGCUCGAGCCGCUGUGGUGGUCCAUGGCGCCGUCGCCGUUGCCGUCACGGUGAAAAUCCCCAAUCCAACCUACCUCUUACUUUUCCCCGUACGCACGAGGCAACAGUGGCGGCGCCGCUUGUUCAUCUUCCCCCACCCCUCGCGGCUACCUGCGUCUCCGCGCUCCGGCGUCGCGCUGCCUCUGCACCUCUGCCUCGGCCUCUCCCGCAUCGCUCCACCUCGACCUUAGUCUCUGUCCACACCAUCGAGCGUGGCUGGCAACGUUUGAAGCGAUGGAACCAGCAAGGAAGAUAGAUCGGCACGCCUUGGUUUCCGCUCAUCUUGGAGUGUCCGGUUUUCCCUCUAUCGUGACUGUUCUUUCCCUUUCUCUUGCAGGAUCACCAAGGCUGCUGCUGGUUGUUUGUCUCUGCGGAUUCUUGGCUUCUCCGGCGUGGUGCGUAUUUAAUCAACAUGGAAAGAUUCGGUUCUCUAUUGGUUGUUGCUCCUUGGGGCUUGUCUUUAACCAGGAAGCUGGGAUGCCUGCUCUUUCAUGUCGGCUUCUCAUUUGACAAAGCAUAUGUCCGUGGUUUAGAUCCAUGCUUGUGCAACCUACAGAAUUUGUUGUGCUGGCUCUUGCUUGUGCUUUACUGUUUGUCCUUCAGGAGACCAGCACAAUGUCGUUUCCUUUUUGUAGUUACUCAUUCAUACAUGCAGGUUCUUGGGGCAUCCAAUAGAAUGAAACUUUUAUUUCGAUGCCCAGUGCGUCCUUUGUUUGCUUCCUAUUAAUCUGUUCAAUGGCCAGUGUGUCUUUUGUUUGCUUCCUAUUAAUCUUAUCGUCUAUUUUUGUUCUGAAGCAUGAGGUUGCUUGUUCUUUUGUUCCGUUGUGCCCAUCAGAUUUCAUCUGUGUUUGACUCUAGGCUCGUCGUGCACUUGGAGAUUCUUGUAUUUUGUCUGCUUUGCAUGGCUUGUUGCCGACCAAGGUUCUGUUGUUAUGGCUUUCACUUGCUUUGUCAUCUACCGCCUUGUGAUCUUGCCCGUUGGACGCCUUGAUAUCAAGGUCAUGUUCUUGGUGUCUUCGCUGCUUUGCCGAGUAUUGUCUGCUUGCAUCCACCCACUAGCCAUUGAUCCAUUGUUUUCGGCCAUGACAGCUCGACUGAUCAGUCCAGCCCAGUGCCUACACCGCAGAUCAACCACCCUGCAUAGCACUUGAUGCGCGGUCGCUGAGCUGAUCCUUCUGCGUUCAUAGAAGGCCUUUGAUCCACUUCCUUAUUCAAUGGGGCUGACUACAAUCUGCUACACGUGUCGUGGUGUCGCUAGAGGUAUCCUUCUGUCCCCCAGAUCCGAUUCUUUCCAUUGUAGAUUUGAAUAUGCUUGCGAUUGCCUCCUCUGUCUGCUUUCGCUCAUUAUACACACGUCCACAGGUGUAUGUCGCCGAAAAUUACAUCUGCAUAGUCAAAUUAAACUGCAUGAACUCCUAGGCUCACUGUCCUCCUGUUACCAAAAUACAUGUUCGAUUCAUUGUGUUCUAUAGUUAGAAUCAGCAAAUUCAAUGGAUGCGAUCUACUCACCCUCCCACCUUUCUCGUAUGAGCUAUGCAAAUCCAUCUGAAUCCGUCUAUCUAUAAAGCUAUUUAUAUUCUUGUCGUCUCAUGCACUGCCCGAUUGUCCUAAAUCAAAUGCACAAAACGGAACAUUCCAAUUCGGCCCACCCAGUAUGAAUGUCAAUACUUGUAAUCUUUAUUGUUAGCAGGUAGCACAAUACCAUACUUUUGAGGUAAGCAAAUAUAAACAGACCAGGGUAAGAUUCUUUGAUGUUGCUGGCUUUUGAAGACUGAUAUUCCAGCUUGUGAAUAUCACUGAUGCAUCAUUUAUGCCACUUACAUAUGCUUUGCCAGUGCAUGAGUCCAACUACAACCAUAUUCAGACAUUGGCACGUUCUCUAUAUGGACAGAAACUGGCAUGGAGGUCGUUGACAUUACAGACAAGUUCAUGCUUGAGGUGAUGUUCAUUAAGCUGCAGCUCCCACAACCACAGUUCUUCUGCUGCAAAGUUGGGGAAAGAUUUGUAGUCACAAUGAAGUUUCAUCCGAGCACACAACAUCAGCGACGUGAUGAUGAAGCAAUGACAUAGGGGUAUAUCCACUUCGGGGAGGAUCUACUUCCACAGCCUAUGUGGCUUUAGAAGAUGCCGAUACUACCAGCUACAGCAGCCUUAUCUGAAUAUCCAGUUAUUACCUCUUGUUGGAAAUAUGCCCUAGAGGCAAUAAUAAAUGGUUAUUAUUAUAUUUCUUUGUUCA